rnacentral:rRNA from 1 species
GACGAGGGGUGCUAACGUUAUUCGGAUUUACUGGGUGUAUAGGGUGCGUAGACGGUGAAUCAAGCUCGUUGUUAAAUUCUCUGGCCUAACCAGAGAUCUGCAGUGGGAACUGAUUCGCUAGAGGAUGGAAGAGAGAAGUGGAAUUCCCGGAGUAGCGGUGGAAUGCGUAGAUCUCGGGAGGAACACCAAUGGCGUAGGCAGCUUCUUGGUCCAUUCCUGACGUUGAGGCACGAAAGCGUGGGGAGCAAACAGGAUUAGAUACCCUCGUA